rnacentral:rRNA from 1 species
AUUGAACGCUGGCGGCAUGCCUUACACAUGCAAGUCGAACGGUAACGCGGGGCAACCUGGCGACGAGUGGCGAACGGGUGAGUAAUAUAUCGGAACGUGCCCAGUAGUGGGGGAUAGCCCGGCGAAAGCCGGAUUAAUACCGCAUGAGACCUGAGGGUGAAAGCGGGGGAUCGCAAGACCUCGCGCUAUUGGAGCGGCCGAUAUCAGAUUAGGUAGUUGGUGGGGUAAAGGCCUACCAAGCCGACGAUCUGUAGCUGGUCUGAGAGGACGACCAGCCACACUGGGACUGAGACACGGCCCAGACUCCUACGGGAGGCAGCAGUGGGGAAUUUUGGACAAUGGGCGCAAGCCUGAUCCAGCCAUGCCGCGUGCGGGAAGAAGGCCUUCGGGUUGUAAACCGCUUUUGUCCGGAAAGAAAAGCGCCGGGUUAAUACCCUGGUGUCCUGACGGUACCGGAAGAAUAAGCACCGGCUAACUACGUG